CCCACCCUCUGUGGGGUCCGUCAGGGUGACCCUUUCUCGCCGUUCCUGUUCAACAUGGUGGUAGAUGCCCUGGCCUCCAUCCUCGACAAGGCCAAGGAUGCCGGCCAUAUCCGCGGUAUUGUGCCCCAUCUAGUCGGAGGGGGAGGGAUCUCCCUCCUUCAAUAUGCGGAUGAUACCAUAAUAAUGGUUGAGGGGUCUGUUCAGGACAUAGCUAACCUGAAGUUCCUCCUUCUUUUCUUCCAAUAGAUGUCGGGACUAACCAUAAACUUUGAUAAGAGCGAAGUGAUGGUUCUUGGGUACCCCCCCGGAGAAGCACAGGCUAUCGCGGACCGACUAAAUUGUUGGUUGGGUUCUUUCCCCACGACCUACCCGGGGAUCCCCAUUAGUGAUUCGCGCCUCACCGUGGCGGAUCUUCGCCCCACGGUGACCCGUAUGCAACACCGUGUUGAGCCCUGGAAAGGCCGCUAG
rnacentral:rRNA from 1 species